UCUAAAGAGCCGUUCGAGACUAGGACGUUGAUAGGUUGGGUGUGGAAGCACGGUGACGUGUGAAGCUGACCAAUACUAAUUGCUCGUGAGGCUUGACUAUACAACACCCAAACAGUUG
rnacentral:rRNA from 1 species